AACGAACGCUGGCGGCAUGCCUAACACAUGCAAGUCGAACGAGACCUUCGGGUCUAGUGGCGCACGGGUGCGUAACGCGUGGGAACCUGCCCUUAGGUUCGGAAUAACUCCCCGAAAGGGGUGCUAAUACCGGAUAAUGUCUUCGGACCAAAGAUUUAUCGCCUUUGGAUGGGCCCGCGUUUGAUUAGCUAGUUGGUAGGGUAAAAGCCUACCAAGGCGACGAUCCAUAGCUGGUUUGAGAGGAUGAUCAGCCACACUGGGACUGAGACACGGCCCAGACUCCUACGGGAGGCAGCAGUGGGGAAUAUUGGACAAUGGGCGAAAGCCUGAUCCAGCAAUGCCGCGUGAGUGAUGAAGGCCUUAGGGUUGUAAAGCUCUUUUACCCGGGAUGAUAAUGACAGUACCGGGAGAAUAAGCUCCGGCUAACUCCGUG
rnacentral:rRNA from 1 species